rnacentral:ncRNA from 1 species
CCUCUUGACAUGCACACUUUCAAUAACUACAUACGAAACUCAUGAUUUACGAUGGUCCAAAUAGGUCCGACCGACCCUGAUCUUAUGUGAAGGGUUCAAGUGAUAGCAUACCUACCGGGACACGAAAGAUGGUGAACUAUGCUUGAGCAGGGUGAAGCCAGAGGAAAAUCUGGUGGAGGCCUGCAACGACAUUAACGUGCAAAUCGUUCGUCUAACUUAGGUACAGGGGCGUAAGACUAAUCGAAUCGUCUAGUAGCUAG